ensembl:lncRNA
UCAGUUAGCAAACUUAAGAAAACAUGAGUUUCAUAUCUGAGAAACGCCAGAGAGAUUGAGCCAACCAGAUAGACAGACAUGGCCCUUUAGCCACACAUCAAACUCAAGAUAACUGCCACAGAGUACCAGUCGGUGGACGUCAUCUGGCCAAACCAAGCGAGACAACCUGCUGCCGUUGGCUUGGAGCUUUUACAGUCAGACUAGGCUACAUACCUGCAAGUCAGUCAUGGAGAUCAGUACGGCUCCCGUCCCGAUCACCCGCUCACUAGUCCCGAUGAUCCCAACUGCUCCAGAUCUACAGACCUCAACAAGGAUUUUACACAAUGACACCUCCAGUAACAUCACAGACACCACGGAGGACCCCAUGGUCGGUAUGGCUUCCGGUGCUGAAUCAGUGGACGCCAUUCUACUGGGAGUCUCUGUAAUAGCAGUUGUUGUGAUGAUACUGCUAAUUAUAAUAGUAGUUCUCCGCUUCAUGGCCCAUCAGAAAGGUACAUAUUACACCCAUGAGGAGGCUUUAGCAUUUAAGAGCGACCCUGAGGUGCAAGAGGUGACCGAAGAUCCGGAAGAUCCAGAAGAAGAGGAGCCUUAGUAUCUUCUGGCGGGAAGCCUUUUGGGACGUUUCCUGUGUGAAAUCACUAUGAGCGACAGAAGGAUCUGUCGUGGUUCCUCUUCCUUUUUGCUCUCCAAUCACAUAUGCCUUUUCCAACAGAUGUCCUUUUCUGACGGCUUCACACUCAACCACUCCAAAACUAAAAUAGAUUUCCAUGUGGAGAAGCACUUUUGUGCUAAUUAUUUUACUUUGUGUGUUAUAGAGUACUUCGAUUAUAUUACAAUUUUUUUAUAUAUACUGUAAACUUUUAGCCUUAUGAAUGAACACAUUAAUGUCUCCAUGUAGAAUCUUUUAUAUUAACAUACCAUGAAGUUCUUUGCAAAUAUUAAGUGUGUUUUUCAUAAAUUAUUUAAUUUACGCCAACUUUAGUGACUGGUUGACAUGUAUCUAUUUGUAGAAUCUUCUUUGCAAAGAUUAAGAUGCCAGAAUUGGCAGCCUGAAUCAAACACCUCCACUUGACUCAUUAUCCAGGCGGUUGUCAAAAGCUACUCUGAAGGUUGUCAUCAUGUAUGCCAGUUGUUUUGGAACAUCUGUAGUAACUCAAAAAAUAUUCACAGGUGGAAGAAGAGUGAGAGAGCCUUCGGCAAAUGUCCAUAUUUCACAUAGUGAAAAUUUUGACGUUUUUUUUACUCAGCCAUGUCAUUCCAAUUCCUCUCUUUUUCUGUGGAACACAACAUUAGACGUUCAGCAGAAUUUUCAUGCUGCUUGGUUCCAUAUAACAUGUAUAUAAAGUUCCAAAAAUGACAAUAAAAACAACAUGGAGAGAGUAAAUAAUGACAUAAAUAUACAGUUCAUACAUAUUCAUUUUUUUUUUAAAGAUUUGCAUUAAAUUGAUC